CCGGCUUAGAGCAUCUGUGUACUAGUGACAUGACAUGGCCGCUGGAACUUGGGACGAAGUUUGGAUUGGAGUGAUGAUGGAUAGUAGCAGUAGCUAUGUCGCCAAUCAAAUCGGAUCGAGCUCAAUUUAAGCUCAAUUCAAUUUGACGCUGAUAUUUGAUACAUUUGCAUGUGUGCUGGCAUCAGUUAUAGGUAUACCACAUCAAAAAAAUAAAAAACAACUCACGGAAGAUAUCCCCUAUGUCAUGACCCUGAGGCCACAGCUCCAGUUCACGGGGCUUCCCUUCCGUGUCGCUUCUGUCCUGUACGCACUCCCCUCUCUUUGGCUCGUGCCACCCCUCUCCUAUGUUGCCCCUCUCCCACGUCGUCCGUCCAUACGCCACCAGGGUGCUUGGAUGCCAGGACACACGCAGCACCCAACACCGUCGCUCUAAUCUAAGGCGCUGCCGUCCACCACCAACACCCUCACUUCGACCCAAGGCAGUGGCUCGCACCCCUGACGCUACAUUUGAUGUAUUUAUUCUUUUCUUCAGUGUCUACUACUGCUGUGUUCAUGAGAUCCUCAAUCUUGCGACAAGUUACUGAAACCCAUACCCUAAUCCCUAUAUCUGCUUGUGGAGGUGUCUGUGACCACGAAUCUGUAGUCAGAGGAGCCUGUGAUAGAGCUAGGUAGAGGAGAAACACUGCAAAGGAGCUGAAGUAGCACUAGUACAGGAAAGGGCUUUAGCCCCGGGCCGUAAGCGCCUUUAGUCCCGGUUACGGAACCGGGGCUAAAUGUCCCACCUUUAGUCCCGGUUCCCUGGAUCCACCUUUAGUCCCGGUUGGUAACAGCAACCGGGACUAAAAGGUGCGCCAGGGUGUGCCACCUGGCCUCCACUUUUAGUCCCGGUUGUUGCUACCAACCGGGACUAAAGACUUUUUUCUUUUUUUCUUUUUUCUUUUUCUUUUCAUUUGGUUUUCCAUUUAGGGUUUACAAUUAUGUUAUUCUUAUUUUCGAAUGCGUAUUGUUUGCUGGUAGUUUAUGGAACGCGCACCUAUAUAAUUUAUAUAAUUUAAAGGAUUACAUAUAAAUAUACUAUAAAACACUAUAUAUAUAUAUAAAUAAUUAUAUCUAUAGGUCCAUAAUAAAAUAUUUACACAUAUGCUUCACGGACAAAGUAUUUACAACACAAUUUUUCUCCACCACUCAAGCAUCGUACAAAUGAUCAUCGUUAUUUGGUUUCAUCUGCUCCUGAGGGUUGAAGUAGCACUCGCCGCCGGAAUCCAGAACUUGGUCAUUAAGAAAUCCUGCGAUUGUCUCCUGAAUUCCUUUUAGGCGCACCUCAUCCAACACCUGCUCCUUCAGCCACAUCUCCUUUAAUAGACAUUAAAGAAAAAAGUUAGAGGUAUAAAUAGGAUUUAUUAAAUAGCAAUAAAUAAAUGAAAUAUACUUAUUAUAUAUACAUGUUACAUACUUUUAGGUGCUCAAGAUUAGUUCUUUUGGCAUGCACCGUCAUAAACUCGCACACAUAGUAGCCACACAAAUUGUUGCCCGGUGUCUGCCGUAGAACCCACUGAAGUAAGAUGGGCUUUGAAAGUGCUGCAUUCAACUCUGGACGGUGUUUCUGUACGAACCCAGCCCAAACCCUAGCAAUAAAACGAUCAUUAUUAAUUAUCCAUUACCAAGUUAAAAGAGCAGAAUUUAAUAUAUAGAGAUCGGAGCCUGUCCCUUACAAGGUAGCCACAGUGUGCAACAAAUUUUUUAGAAUUAGCCCCAAGUACUUGUCCUGUACCGUCAUCGAAUUCCGACAGAAUGUACCGACCCUCCAACGGCUUCUUCGGGCCACGCACUUUUCUACUCUUCUCAGAAGUUGUCGCCGAUUUAGAGGGCUACACAAACAAGUAUAAAUAUAUUAGUAUAAAUGUCAUUUAUUUUAAUUUCAUAUAUAUACAUAUAUACUAGAUUAUAGAUAGAUCUGAUCAGAAUUGUCUCCCACAAGUUCUUCAUAUUCGACAAAGUACUGACUCCCAUCAUCUUCGCCUUGGGGAUCUGGAUUGGCACCGCUGUUGAUUAGGUCCAUCAUUGCAUCAUCCAUGUUGUCAUUCGGAUUGGCCAUUUCUGCAAAUUUAAUCAAGUGUUAAAAGUUUUUUACGCGAUCAACAAAAAUUAUUUAGAUAGACUAAACUUAGACAAUAUUCGAUACAACAACACAUGAUAAAUUAUAUCAUAUAAAUUAUAUAAUACAAAUGAUAAAUUAUAAAAUAGAAAUUAUACAUCUCAUCUCAAUAUCUAUCCCCACAAACUAAUUACAACACAUGAUAAAUUAUAUCAUAUAAAUUAUAUAAUACAAAAGAUAAAUUAUAAAAUAGAAAUUAUACAUCUCAUCUCAAUAUCUAUCCCCACAAACUAAUUACAACACAUGAUAAAUUAUAUCAUAUAAAUUAUAUAAUACAAAUGAUAAAUUAUAAAAUAGAAAUUAUACAUCUCAUCUCAAUAUCUAUCCCCACUAACUAAUUACAACACAUGAUAAAUUAUAUCAUAUAAAUUAUAUAAUACAAAAGAUAAACUAUAAAAUAGAAAUUAUACAUCUCAUCUCAAUAUCUAUCCCCACAAACUAAUUACAACACAUGAUAAAUUAUAUCAUAUAAAUUAUAUAAUACAAAAGAUAAACUAUAAAAUAAAAAUUAUACAUCUCAUCUCAAUAUCUAUCCCCACAAACUAAUUACAACACAUGAUAUAUUAUAUCAUAUAAAUUAUAUAAUACAAAAGAUAAAUUAUAAAAUAGAAAUUAUACAUCUCAUCUCAAUAUCUAUCCCCACAAACUAAUUACAACACAUGAUAAAUUAUAUCAUAUAAAUUAUAUAAUACAAAUGAUAAAUUAUAAAAUAGAAAUUAUACAUCUCAUCUCAAUAUCUAUCCCUACUA
rnacentral:lncRNA from 1 species